UGGGGAAUAUUGGACAAUGGGCGAAAGCCUGAUCCAGCCAUGCCGCGUGUGUGAAGAAGGCCUUUUGGUUGUAAAGCACUUUAAGCGAGGAGGAGGCUACUUGGAUUAAUACUCUAGGAUAGUGGACGUUACUCGCAGAAUAAGCACCGGCUAACUCUGUGCCAGCAGCCGCGGUAAUACAGAGGGUACGAGCGUUAAUCGGAUUUACUGGGCGUAAAGCGUGCGUAGGCGGCUUUUUAAGUCGGAUGUGAAAUCCCUGAGCUUAACUUAGGAAUUGCAUUCGAUACUGGGAAGCUAGAGUAUGGGAGAGGAUGGUAGAAUUCCAGGUGUAGCGGUGAAAUGCGUAGAGAUCUGGAGGAAUACCGAUGGCGAAGGCAGCCAUCUGGCCUAAUACUGACGCUGAGGUACGAAAGCAUGGGGAGCAAACAGG
rnacentral:rRNA from 1 species